UCGGCAGGGGNCAUCAAGUNUCUUCAAAGUNGGACUUACUCCGGGUGGCAGUGGAAACGGUGCGCUUGAGGGCGNCAGGGUAGAGGGAUUNCCAGUGUACGGUAAANGCGUAGAGAUUGGGAAGAACAGCGGUGGCGAAAGCGCUCUACUGGGUCGCACNUGACCUCAGGGACGAAAGCUAAGGUAGCGAAAGGGAUUAGAUACCCCUGUAGUCUUAGCCGUAAACGAUGGAUACUAGGCGUGGCUUGUAUCGANCCAAGCCGUGCCGAAGCUAACGCGUUAAGUAUCCCGCCUGGGGAGUACGCACGCAAGUGUGAAACUCAAAGGAAUUGACGGGGGCCCGCACAAGCGGUGGAGGAUGUGGUUUAAUUCGAUGCAACGCGAAGGACCUUACCAGGGCUUGACAUCCCGCGAAUCUCGGUGAAAGCCGAGAGUGCCUUCGGGAGCGCGGAGACAGGUGGUGCAUGGCUGUCGUCAGCUCGUGUCGUGAGAUGUUGGGUUAAGUCCCGCAACGAGCGCAACCCUCGUCCUUAGUUGCCAGCCUUAAGUGGGGCACUCUAGGGAGACUGCCGGUGACAAACCGGAGGAAGGUGAGGAUGACGUCAAGUCAGCAUGCCCCUUAUGCUCUGGGCAACACACGUCCUACAAUGGUCGGGACAAAGGGGAGCGAGCUCGCGAGAGUCAGCAAAUCCCAGCAAACUCGGCCUCAGUUCAGAUGGCAGGCUGCAACUCGCCUGCCUGAAGGAGGAAUCGCUAGUAAUCGCUGGUCAGCAUACAGCGGUGAAUUCGUUCCCGGGCCUUGUACACACCGCCCGUCACACCAUGGAAGAAGGGCAAGCCCGAAGUCGUUACCCUAACCGUGCGCCNCCCNNNANNGNCGAAGGCUGGGCUGGUGACUGGGGUGAAGUCGUAACAANCANCCAANGUGANNAGUGCU
rnacentral:rRNA from 1 species